UACAGAGGUCCCAAGCGUUGUUCGGAUUCACUGGGCGUAAAGGGUGCGUAGGCGGUCGGGUAAGUCUGGCGUGAAAUCUCCAAGCCUAACUUGGAAACUGCGUUGGAUACUAUCCGGCUCGAGGAAUGGAGGGGAGACUGGAAUACUUGGUGUAGCAGUGAAAUGCGUAGAUAUCAGGAAGAACACCCGUGGCUAAGGCGGCUCUCUAGUACGGUACUGACGCUGAGACGCGAAAGCGUGGGGAGCGAACAGG
rnacentral:rRNA from 1 species